GACGAACGCUGGCGGCGUGCUUAACACAUGCAAGUCGAACGGUAAGGCCCUUCGGGGUACACGAGUGGCGAACGGGUGAGUAACACGUGGGUGAUCUGCCCUGCACUCCGGGAUAAGCCUGGGAAACUGGGUCUAAUACCGGAUAGGACUCCUGGCUUCAUGGUUGGGGGUGGAAAGCUUUUGCGGUGUGGGAUGGGCCCGCGGCCUAUCAGCUUGUUGGUGGGGUAAUGGCCUACCAAGGCGACGACGGGUAGCCGGCCUGUGAGGGUGACCGGUCACACUGGGACUGAGAUACGGCCCAGACUCCUACGGGAGGCAGCAGUGGGGAAUAUUGCACAAUGGGCGCAAGCCUGAUGCAGCGACGCCGCGUGAGGGAUGACGGCCUUCGGGUUGUAAACCUCUUUCAGCUAUGACGAAGCGCAAGUGACGGUAGUAGCAGAAGAAGGACCGGCCAACUACGUGCCAGCCGCCGCAGUAA
rnacentral:rRNA from 1 species